rnacentral:rRNA from 1 species
AUUGAACGCUAGCGGCAUGCCUUACACAUGCAAGUCGAACGGCAGCGGGGGAGCUUGCUCCCGCCGGCGAGUGGCGAACGGGUGAGUAAUACAUCGGAACGUACCCAGUAGCGGGGGAUAGCCCGGCGAAAGCCGGAUUAAUACCGCAUACGCCCUACGGGGGAAAGGGGGGGAUCGCAAGACCUCCCCCUAUUGGAGCCGCCGAUGGCUGAUUAGCUAGUUGGUGGGGUAAAGGCCUACCAAGGCGACGAUCAGUAGCUGGUCUGAGAGGACGACCAGCCACACUGGGACUGAGACACGGCCCAGACUCCUACGGGAGGCAGCAGUGGGGAAUUUUGGACAAUGGGCGAAAGCCUGAUCCAGCAAUGCCGCGUGUGCGAAGAAGGCCUUCGGGUUGUAAAGCACUUUUGUCAGGGAAGAAAUCGUUUGGGUUAAUACCCCGAGCAGUUUACGGUACCUGAAGAAUAAGCACCGGCUAACUACGUGCCAGCCGCCGCCGUAA